rnacentral:rRNA from 1 species
AUUGAACGCUGGCGGCAUGCUUUACACAUGCAAGUCGAACGGUAACAGGUUAAGCUGACGAGUGGCGAACGGGUGAGUAAUGCAUCGGAACGUACCAUUGAGUGGGGGAUAACGUAGCGAAAGUUACGCUAAUACCGCAUAUUCUCUCCGGAGGAAAGCAGGGGAUCGUAAGACCUAGUGCUCUUCGAGCGGCCGAUGGCGGAUUAGCUAGUUGGUGAGGUAAAGGCUCACCAAGGCUACGAUCCGUAGCGGGUCUGAGAGGAUGAUCCGCCACACUGGGACUGAGACACGGCCCAGACUCCUACGGGAGGCAGCAGUGGGGAAUUUUGGACAAUGGGGGCAACCCUGAUCCAGCCAUGCCGCGUGAGUGAAGAAGGCCUUCGGGUUGUAAAGCUCUUUCAGCCGGGAAGAAAACGCAUGGGUUAAUACCCUGUGUGGAUGACGGUACCGGAAUAAGAAGCACCGGCUAACUACGUGCCAGCCGCCGCGGUAA